AUUGAACGCUGGCGGCAGGCCUAACACAUGCAAGUCGAGCGAGCGGCGGACGGGUGAGUAAUGUCUGGGAAACUGCCUGAUGGAGGGGGAUAACUACUGGAAACGGUAGCUAAUACCGCAUACCAUCAGAUUGUCCCAGAUGGGAUUAGCUAGUAGGUGGGGUAACGGCUCACCUAGGCGACGAUCCCUAGCUGGUCUGAGAGGAUGACCAGCCACACUGGAACUGAGACACGGUCCAGACGCCUACGGGAGGAAGCAGUGGGGAAUAUGGCACAAUGGGCGCAAGCCUGAUGCAGCCAUGCCGCGUGUAUGAAGAAGGCCGUCGGGUUGUAAAGUACUUUCAGCGGGGAGGCGGUACCCGCAGAAGAAGCACCGGCGAACUCCGUGCCAGCAGCCGCGGUAAUAC
rnacentral:rRNA from 1 species